UACGGGGGGGCAAGCGUUGUCCGGAAUUAUUGGGCGUAAAGAGCUCGUAGGCGGUCUGUCGCGUCGGCUGUGAAAACUCGGGGCUCAACUGCAGGCUUGCGGUCGAUACGGGCAGGCUGGAGUUCGGUAGGGGAGACUGGAAUUCCUGGUGUAGCGGUGAAAUGCGCAGAUAUCAGGAGGAACACCGGUGGCGAAGGCGGGUCUCUGGGCCGAUACUGACGCUGAGGAGCGAAAGCGUGGGGAGCGAACAGG
rnacentral:rRNA from 1 species